rnacentral:siRNA from 1 species
GACGAGCUGACUUGUACCGAUGAG